AGUUUCAGUCCUCUGCAUGGCACGAGGGGGAUAGUGGAGGAGAAGCUGCUCACACCAGGUGGCUAGGAAGUGAGGAGCCAGAAAGGGAGAGAGAUGCUUCCAGGUCACAUCCUCAGUGACCCAGUUCUUCUGAGCCCAACAGCAAACCAGCUAUAGUGUCCCCACAAUCCAAUCCCCUCUCAAAAGCCCUGCAUGUGGGUGCACAAGGCUUUGAAGGACCUCUAACUAUGAACCAUAACAGUCCCUAUGCACCAGUAACACCCAUGCAUAUUUGUACACACGGCUGCUGUCUGCUCCGGGUCCUGCUGUGCAUUUACCCUUGUAUGUGACGGCAUUCUCAUGUUCUAGAACAUUCCCGUCUCCUGGGCAAUCAGUUCCCUUUCUUUGGACACAGGCCUUGCUUUUCAGUAGAACCCACCAGUCACGAGCCCUGGGGAGAGCACAUGACCCAGGUCUUAGCCAAUCACCUGCUCUGCAUCCCUUUGCACUGAUGCAGGAAUUGGCUGGCUGUGGGCUCCUCAAGUGGCCUCAUGGCUCAUUAGGAGGAGUCUGUAGCCUUUUGAUGAACUUGGGUGCACCAGGCAGGUGCUCUGUAGCCACAGGGGAAGCUGGCCUGAGGACAGAAUCUGCAGAAAAGAGAGAACAGGGAAGAUGUUGGAGAAAAGCAGCACUAAGGAUUCUGCUUGAUCUCUGCUCACAGCUGUGCCCGGAAAUUGCUAUCUGGUCCUAAAGCUUCUGUCAAACAGAAACCCGGCGCUGUGUCUUCAUCCAUCACAUCUGCUGGAUCUGGCCGUGUGACUUUCGACUCUUCCCCAAAGGAAAAUGUCCAUGAGGGGGAAACAUUUCACAACAAUUCUGGACAUCAAGGCAGCCAAGACACAGUAACUGGAGACCCUCAGGAAAGAGGACCGCAGAGCUGCUGCAGAACGCGGCCAGAGCCACGGGACAAGGGUGACUGAGGCAGGAGGCAGACUUCUGAGGGGCCAUGGCGGAUGGCAGGCCUAACUUACACCGGGGAGGCCCAGAGAGGGCCAGCAACCCCUGGAGUGUCACACAGCAGAGCUGGAGCCAGGAUGGAGACCUUGCAUGCUGACUUCUGGCGGAGACACUUUCCUCAGUGGGGCCCUGGGCACCCCAGCAUCAAGCCCUGAAGUUCCGGAAGGGAGGUGACGCCAGUCCCUUCCUGCCUUUUAAAGACGCGGCUCUGCAUGUCCCCACCCCCUCUUCCUAGUAAGUAGAACCAUUAGUUUUUAUUGACGGGACUAAUGCUUUUCAUUUAGGGCCAAUUACAAUAGGAAGGGAGCCGCUUAGGGGUAACUGGGCGAUGAAAGGGCUCCAUUAGGGAACAAGCUCGGGGCUGCUGUUUCCCAUUUGCAAGGCCGGCUCCACAUGCGAGUCCCAUUUAAACCGUAAACGGUGGCGCCCGGGGAGCCCUCGCGGCCGCCUUGAGAAACCCAAUCCUUUUAUCAAAUCGCCAGAUGGCCCCAUGGCGGAGAAAGGUCUACUUCAGGUACUUUUCUCCUCCCGGAGCCCAGAGAUGCUUGUUCCGGGCAGGCAGUUCCAGCCCCUCC